rnacentral:rRNA from 1 species
CCUACGGGAGACAGCAGUCGAGAAUCAUUCACAAUGGGGGAAACCCUGAUGGUGCGACGCCGCGUGGGGGAAUGAAGGUCUUCGGAUUGUAAACCCCUGUCAUGUGGGAGCAAAUUAAAAAGAUAGUACCACAAGAGGAAGAGACGGCUAACUCUGUGCCAGCAGCCGCGGUAAUACAGAGGUCUCAAGCGUUGUUCGGAAUCACUGGGCGUAAAGCGUGCGUAGGCUGUUUCGUAAGUCGUGUGUGAAAGGCGCGGGCUCAACCCGCGGACGGCACAUGAUACUGCGAGACUAGAGUAAGGGAGGGGGAACCGGAAUUCUCGGUGUAGCAGUGAAAUGCGUAGAUAUCGAGAGGAACACUCGUGGCGAAGGCGGGUUCCUGGACAUUAACUGACGCUGAGGCACGAAGGCCAGGGGAGCGAAAGGGAUUAGAUACCCGGGUAGUC